rnacentral:rRNA from 1 species
AUACGGAGGAUCCGAGCGUUAUCCGGAUUUAUUGGGUUUAAAGGGAGCGUAGGCGGACGCUUAAGUCAGUUGUGAAAGUUUGCGGCUCAACCGUAAAAUUGCAGUUGAAACUGGCAGUCUUGAGUACAGUAGAGGUGGGAGGAAUUCGUGGUGUAGCGGUGAAAUGCUUAGAUGUCACGAAGAACUCCGAUUGCGAAGGCAGCUCACUAGACUGUUACUGACACUGAUGCUCGAAAGUGUGGGUAUCAAACAGGAUUAGAUACCCUGGUAGUCCACACAGUAAACGAUGAAUACUCGCUGUUUGCGAUAUACAGUAAGCGGCCAAGCGAAAGCAUUAAGUAUUCCACCUGGGGAGUACGCCGGCAACGGUGAAACUCAAAGGAAUUGACGGGG